rnacentral:rRNA from 1 species
UACGUAGGGUGCAAGCGUUGUCCGGAAUUAUUGGGCGUAAAGAGCUCGUAGGCGGUUUGUCGCGUCUAUCGUGAAAACUGGAGGCUUAACUUUCAGCGUGCGGUGGAUACGGGCAGACUUGAGUUCGGUAGGGGAGACUGGAAUUCCUGGUGUAGCGGUGAAAUGCGCAGAUAUCAGGAGGAACACCAAUGGCGAAGGCAGCUCGCUGGGACGGUACUGACGCUGAGGCGCGAAAGCGUGGGGGAGCAAACAGG